AUACGUAGGGCGCAAGCGUUGUCCGGAAUUAUUGGGCGUAAAGAGCUCGUAGGCGGUCUGUCGCGUCUGCUGUGAAAACCCGAGGCUCAACCUCGGGCCUGCAGUGGGUACGGGCAGACUAGAGUGCGGUAGGGGAGACUGGAAUUCCUGGUGUAGCGGUGGAAUGCGCAGAUAUCAGGAGGAACACCGAUGGCGAAGGCAGGUCUCUGGGCCGCAACUGACGCUGAGGAGCGAAAGCGUGGGGAGCGAACAGGAUUAGAUACCCUGGUAGUCCACGCCGUAAACGUUGGGCACUAGGUGUGGGGCUCAUUCCACGAGUUCCGUGCCGCAGCAAACGCAUUAAGUGCCCCGCCUGGGGAGUACGGCCGCAAGGCUAAA
rnacentral:rRNA from 1 species